rnacentral:rRNA from 1 species
CGCGUAGGUGGUAGUGCAAGUCUGGGGUGGAAUCCCAGGGCUUAACCCUGGAACUGCCUUGGAAACUGUAUUACUUUGAGUCAGUGAGGGGAGGGUAGAAUUCCUGGUGUAGCGGUGAAAUGCGUAGAUAUCAGGAGGAAGGCCUGUGGCGAAGGCGGCCCUCUGGCGCUGAACUGACACUGAGGCGCGAAAGCGUGGGGAGCAAACAGGAUUAGAUACCCUGGUAGUCCACGCCCUAAACGGUGGGUACUAGGUGUAGGGCUCGUAAGGGUUCUGUGCCGAAGCGAAAGCAUUAAGUACCCCGCCUGGGGAGUACGGCCGCAAGGUUGAAA